rnacentral:tRNA from 2 species
UCUCCGGUAGCUCAAUAGCAGAGCAAGCGGCUGUUAACCGCGAGGUUGAGGGUGCAAGUCCCUCCUGGAGAG